rnacentral:rRNA from 1 species
AUUGAACGCUGGCGGAAUGCUUUACACAUGCAAGUCGAGCGGCAGCGCGGGGGCAACCCUGGCGGCGAGCGGCGAACGGGUGAGUAAUACAUCGGAACGUGUCCUUGAGUGGGGGAUAGCUCGGCGAAAGCCGGAUUAAUACUGCAUAAGCUCUGCGGAGGAAAGCGGGGGACUGGUAACGGCCUCGCGCUGUUGGAGCGGCCGAUGUCGGAUUAGCUAGUUGGUGGGGAAAAGGCCCACCAAGGCGACGAUCCGUAGCUGGUCUGAGAGGAUGAUCAGCCACACUGGAACUGAGACACGGUCCAGACUCCUACGGGA